rnacentral:rRNA from 1 species
GAUGAACGCUCGCUCCAGGCUUAACACAUGCAAGUCGAGGGGCAGCGGGAUUGAAGCUUGCUUCAAUUGCCGGCGACCGGCGCACGGGUGAGUAACGCGUAUCCAACCUUCCGUACACUCAGGGAUAGCCUUUCGAAAGAAAGAUUAAUACCUGAUGGUAUGAUGAGAUUGCAUGAUAUCAUCAUUAAAGAUUUAUCGGUGUACGAUGGGGAUGCGUUCCAUUAGGUAGUAGGCGGGGUAACGGCCCACCUAGCCAACGAUGGAUAGGGGUUCUGAGAGGAAGGUCCCCCACAUUGGAACUGAGACACGGUCCAAACUCCUACGGGAGGCAGCAGUGAGGAAUAUUGGUCAAUGGACGAGAGUCUGAACCAGCCAAGUAGCGUGAAGGAUGAAGGUCCUACGGAUUGUAAACUUCUUUUAGAAGGGAAUAAACCCUCCCACGUGUGGGAGCUUGUAUGUACCUUAUGAAUAAGCAUCGGCUAACUCCGUG